GACGAACGCUGGCGGUGGGCUUAACACAUGCAAGUCGAACGGAAAGGCCCUGCUUUUUUGCUGUUCUCGAUGGGCGAACGGGUGAGUAACAGGAGAGUAACCGGCUCUUGUCUUUGGGAUGACUUCAGGAAAGUGGGCUUAAUAUCGUAUAGCAGCCGCUGUACCAGUGAGGGCGGUGGAAAUUUUCGGCUGUUGCGGAUGGAUUAGCGGCUGUUCAGCUAGUUGGUGGGGGAGUGGCUUACCAACGCUUUGGCGGGUAGCCGGCAGGAGAGGGUGAACGGCGACAUUGGGACUGAGAUACGGAGCAGAGUGCUACAGGAGGCAGCAGUGGCGAAUCUUGCACAAUGGGAGGAAGUCUGAUGCAGCAACGCUGCGUGCGGGAUGCCGGCCUUCGGGUUGUAAACAGCUUUAGGCUAAGACCAAGCGUGAGUGACGGUACUGGGUAAAGAAGCACCGGCUAACUACGUG
rnacentral:rRNA from 1 species